rnacentral:rRNA from 1 species
GUGGGGAAUCUUGCGCAAUGGGCGAAAGCCUGACGCAGCCAUGCCGCGUGAAUGAUGAAGGUCUUAGGAUUGUAAAAUUCUUUCACCGGGGACGAUAAUGACGGUACCCGGAGAAGAAGCCCCGGCUAACUUCGUGCCAGCAGCCGCGGUAAUACGAAGGGGGCUAGCGUUGCUCGGAAUUACUGGGCGUAAAGGGCGCGUAGGCGGACAGUUUAGUCAGAGGUGAAAGCCCAGGGCUCAACCUUGGAAUUGCCUUUGAUACUGGCUGUCUUGAGUACGGGAGAGGUGAGUGGAACUCCGAGUGUAGAGGUGAAAUUCGUAGAUAUUCGGAAGAACACCAGUGGCGAAGGCGACUCACUGGCCCGUUACUGACGCUGAGGCGCGAAAGCGUGGGGAGCAAACAGGAUUGGAUACCCGUGUAGUCC